rnacentral:lncRNA from 10 species
UUAGCUUCUCUGACCCUCAAAUUGCUCUUUUUUAUGAUAAGAGGUUGGACUAGACCAGCUUUUCUUAAAGUGGUCAUCUCCACAGAAGCACUCCAAAGAAGCACCCAGAAACUUUUCUAUGAUGCAGAUUCUUGGACCUCCAACCAGACAAAAUAGGUGAAAAUUUUUGAAGAAAUCUGAACUUUAAAAAAAUUUAUUUACACAAAUAAUACAUGAUAACUUUUCCUAAUAAAAAUAAUGAAACAUUACAUUUAAGGCUAAAGCCCUCUCUGCCAUCACUACCAAUACCCUUUCUAAAGACAGCCAAUAUAAUCAUUUUGGUAUGUAAUCUUUCUAAAUAUUUACAUUCAUAUAUAAGUAUACCAGGGGGAAAUAUACAGAAAUGGGUUGGUUGUGGCAAGGGGGUUGCUGAAUAACAUCUUAUGUGUCAUUUUGCAACUUUUUAUUUUACUCAACAGUGUGUCUUAAGGUCUCUAUCAUGGAGUACACAGAGAUCUACCCAUGCUUUGAGCUUCCCAGGUUAUUCUGGGGCUCAUUCAAGUUUAAGAACUGCUGUGCUUGAUAAACUGACAUCUUUGGAGUCUCUGCUUUUAACAUACGGAGGGCAAAAUCAGCAAGCUAUUUCCCAAGAGUGAGGGAAAGCCUGGCCUGAUUGGAGUAUCCUCGGCACUUGGACAUGGACUUCAUGGCUCAGAUAUCCCCUGUCAAGGGUGUGAUUCCCCAAGAUCCAGCUGGGGCACCUCCACUUACCUUCUUUUAGCACUCUCAGGGCCACUCCUUCCAUCCCUUGACAGCCCCUGCUCACCCUGAUGUGAUCCAUGCAGGUGAGAGCUGACUCAGGCUCUCUCUGCCACCCGGAAACUGGCUUCCUGUGGCUCUUGAUGGGGCCUGACUGGUUUGACUUGGUGAGGCAGCUGUGAUUUCCCAAUACCUCCUCUCUGGGGAUCUUCAGGCACACACCAUCUGGCUCUGUGAGGACUUAGGAACUAUCUGGGUGCAGAGAGGUGGUAUUCUCCUCGCUGUCAUCAGGCUGUCCUUUUCUGGGUUUCCCACCCUCCUCUGUAAAAUGUUGUUUUCACUAAUCUCUAUGCCUAGCAAGAGCAUCUAGCAAACAUAUGUAUGCAAGAUUUGUUGAAAGAAUAAAAGUUGUAAAGUUCCUUCCAACUCCUAAGGACUGUGAAUUUAAGCCCUCUAUUGUGAGCAAAAUGCUUGCCAUUGUGUGUAGCCCUAGACUGGGAACUGAAGAAGGAAUGAAACUCUUGAAAAGAUACUGUCCUUGUCCUUGAGUUGCGAACAGUCUAGUUGGGGGUCCAGUCAUCCACCCAGUGAAUAUUUCCCUGGAGUCUGACAUAGGGCAGGAAUGGAGCCAGAUCAUGGCAGUCAAGGAAGGACAAAGGGUCCACUCACAAUCAAUCAAAGAAGAACGUGGCCCAGGAGAGAGCAGAGACCAUAGUCACAUAGACUAAGGGUCCUGCAAAAAGGCCAGAGGAGAAAGCAUUCAGUGGGGGCUGGAGUAGUCAGGAAAGAUGAGCUAGAUGGAGCGUGGGGCCAGGAGGUACAAGUAGAGAGAGUGCAUGGCACAUGGCAGGCUCUGGGUAAACGUUUGCCAAAUUGAAUAGGCAGAUUUUUAUAGAGACCAAGUCAUAAUAAAUGAAUACACAGAAAUAGAUGAAUGUAUUAAAUAGAUGACAGAUAUAAGCAGAUGUGCGGAUUCGUGGGCACAAGGAUGGAUGGACGGAUGGAUGGACGGAUGGAUGGAUGGAUGGAUGG